rnacentral:rRNA from 1 species
CCCCUAGAUGUUCUGGGCCGCACGCGCGCUACACUGAACAGUUCAACAAGUCUUAACCUUGGCCGAUAGGUCUGGGUAAUCUUUGAACGCUGUUCGUGAUUGGGAUAGACCUUUGCAAUUAUGGGUCUUCAACGAGGAAUUCCUAGUAAACGCAAGUCAUCAGCUUACAUUGAUUACGUCCCUGCCCUUUGUACACACCGCCCGUCGCACCUACCGAUUGAAUGGUCCGGUGAAAUCUCGGGACGGCGGCUCGGUCGCUUGCGUCCGACUGCUGAAACUUGAUUAAACCAUAUCAUUUAGAGGAAGGUGAAGUCGUAACA